CAGUCGCCGCGGGAAUACGAAGGGGGCUAGCGUUGUUCGGAAUCACUGGGCGUAAAGGGUGCGUAGGCGGAUUCUUAAGUCAGGGGUGAAAUCCCGAGGCUCAACCUCGGAACUGCCUUUGAUACUGGGGAUCUUGAGUCCGGAAGAGGUGAGUGGAACUGCGAGUGUAGAGGUGAAAUUCGUAGAUAUUCGCAAGAACACCAGUGGCGAAGGCGGCUCACUGGUCCGGAACUGACGCUGAGGCACGACAGCGUGGGGAGCAAACAGGAUUAGAUACCCCUGUAGUCCCUGUCUCUUAUAC
rnacentral:rRNA from 1 species